GUCUCAGUGUCUGCCAUAAUGUCUCCCAGUGCCCUUAGUGUCUCAGUGUCUGCCAUAAUGUCUCUCAAUGUCCCUUAGUGUCUCAGUGUCUGCCAUAAUGUCUCUCAAUGUCCCUUAGUGUCUCAGUGUCUGCCAUAAUGUCUCUCAAUGUCCCUUAGUGUCUCAGUGUCUGCCAUAAUGUCUCCCAGUGUCCCUUAGUGUCUCAG